UAAUACUAGCGGUCCAAGUCGCAGCCAUUUUUAUUGGGUCUAAAACAUCCGUAGCUUGCUUGAUAAGUCUCCUGUGAAAUUUUGUCUCUUAAGGGCAAAGCGCGCAGGGGGUACUACCGAGCUAGAGACCGGAAGACGUAAGAAGUAUGUUCGAAGUAGCGGUAAAAUGUGUUAAUCUCGGACAGACUCACAAUAGCGAAGGCAUCUUACGAGGACGGUUCUGACAGUAAGGGAUGAAGGCUAGGGGCGCAAAACGGAUUAGAUACCCGUGUAGUCCUAGCAGUAAACACUGCACACUAAACAUCAGUUCCUCCUCGAGAGGCAUUGGUGCUGAAGGGAAGCCGAAGAGUGUGCUACCUGGGAAGUAUAGUCGCAAGGCCG
rnacentral:rRNA from 1 species